GCUGUUAAGGGUUCGUAGUUGAACUCAGAGUGGGGAGACUUGGUACGCUUUGGCAUCCUUUCUCCCCGCUCUGUCAUAGACGGGUCCGCGUCCGGCGGAAGCAGGCCUUAACUGGCUCUGCGGAGCUCCUAACCGAAGAGGUUGGGAAUUACAUGUGCGACGCACGUAAUCGACCGCCCGUCGUUUCACUGUGAAGAAAACAGCGUGUUCAAAGCCGCCGAUUAUCGGCUGAAUGACAAGCAUGGAAUGACAAAGCAUCGACCAAUUGGUCCGUCUUUUGUCGGUUUUUAUGACCUUUUGGGAAAUAUGUUCACGAAGACUUCCUCGCUGCCUCAGGGCACUUGGAAGCUCCGUGAACACGGGAUUAAUGGGGGUUGUCGGGGGAAAACGUAUCUGAGCGUGAGAGGUGAAAUUCUUGACCGCUCGGGGACGAACUUAUGCGAAGGCAUUUUUCAAGUAUACCUUCAUCAAUCAGAACUAAAGUG
rnacentral:rRNA from 1 species